GACGAACGCUGGCGGCGUGCUUAACACAUGCAAGUCGAACGGCAAGGCCCUGCUUUUGUGGGGUGCUCGAGUGGCGAACGGGGGCGUAACACGUGAGUAACCUGCUCUUGACUUUGGGAUAACUUCAGGAAACUGGGGCUAAUACCGGAUAGGAGCUCCUGCUGCAUGGUGGGGGGUGGAAAGUCUCGGCGGUUGGGGAUGGACUCGCGGCUUAUCAGCUUGCUGGUGGGGUAGUGGCUUACCAAGGCUUUGACGGGUAGCCGGCCGGAGAGGGUGACCGGCCACAUUGGGACUGAGAUACGGCCCAGACUCCUACGGGAGGCAGCAGUGGGGAAUAUUGCACAAUGGGCGGAAGCCUGAUGCAGCAACGCCGCGUGCGGGAUGACGGCCUUCGGGUUGUAAACCGCUUUCGCCUGAGACGAAGCGGUAGUGACGGUAAUGAGUAAAGAAGCACCGGCUAACUACGUG
rnacentral:rRNA from 1 species